CCUACGGGCGACAGCAGUGAGGAAUAUUGGUCAAUGGACGAGAGCCUGAACCAGCCAAGUAGCGUGAAGGAUGACUGCCCUAUGGGUUGUAAACUUCUUUUAUAUGGGAAUAAAAUGUUCCACGUGUGGGAUUUUGUAUGUACCAUAUGAAUAAGGAUCGGCUAACUCCGUGCCAGCAGCCGCGGUAAUACGGAGGAUCCGAGCGUUAUCCGGAUUUAUUGGGUUUAAAGGGAGCGUAGGUGGAUUGUUAAGUCAGUUGUGAAAGUUUGCGGCUCAACCGUAAAAUUGCAGUUGAAACUGGCAGUCUUGAGUACAGUAGAGGUAGGCGGAAUUCGUGGUGUAGCGGUGAAAUGCUUAGAUAUCACGAAGAACUCCGAUUGCGAAGGCAGCUCACUGGACUGCAACUGACACUGAGGCUCGAAAGUGUGGGUAUCAAACAGGAUUAGAUACCCCUGUAGUC
rnacentral:rRNA from 1 species